UACGUAGGGGGCAAGCGUUGUCCGGAUUUAUUGGGCGUAAAGAGCGUGUAGGCGGCUGGGUAGGUCCGUUGUGAAAACUCGAGGCUCAACCUCGAGACGCCGAUGGAAACCCUCCAGCUAGAGUCCGGAAGAGGAGAGUGGAAUUCCUGGUGUAGCGGUGAAAUGCGCAGAUAUCAGGAAGAACACCCGUGGCGAAGGCGGCUCUCUGGAACGCAACUGACGCUGAGACGCGAAAGCGUGGGGAGCAAACAGG
rnacentral:rRNA from 1 species